UACGUAGGUGGCAAGCGUUAUCCGGAAUUAUUGGGCGUAAAGCGCUCGCAGGCGGUUUCUUAAGUCUGAUGUGAAAGCCCACGGCUCAACCGUGGAGGGCCAUUGGAAACUGGGAGACUUGAGUGCAGAAGAGGAGAGUGGAAUUCCACGUGUAGCGGUGAAAUGCGUAGAGAUGUGGAGGAACACCAGUGGCGAAGGCGACUCUCUGGUCUGUAACUGACGCUGAGGAGCGAAAGCGUGGGGAGCGAACAGG
rnacentral:rRNA from 1 species